rnacentral:rRNA from 1 species
CCUACGGGUGGCUGCAGUGGGGAAUAUUGCACAAUGGGCGCAAGCCUGAUGCAGCCAUGCCGCGUGUGUGAAGAAGGCCUUCGGGUUGUAAAGCACUUUCAGCGGGGAGGAAGGCGGUGAGGUUAAUAACCUCAUCGAUUGACGUUACCCGCAGAAGAAGCACCGGCUAACUCCGUGCCAGCAGCCGCGGUAAUACGGGGGGUGCAAGCGUUAAUCGGAAUUACUGGGCGUAAAGCGCACGCAGGCGGUCUGUCAAGUCGGAUGUGAAAUCCCCGGGCUCAACCUGGGAACUGCAUUCGAAACUGGCAGGCUAGAGUCUUGUAGAGGGGGGUGGAAUUCCAGGUGUAGCGGUGAAAUGCGUAGAGAUCUGGAGGAAUACCGGUGGCGAAGGCGGCCCCCUGGACAAAGACUGACGCUCAGGUGCGAAAGCGUGGGGAGCAAACAGGAUUAGAUACCCGGGUAGUC